CAUGUUGGACGAGGCACUUGUGCCUAGUAGCAAAUGGGUGAGUAACACGUACUUAAUUUGCCCUUUAGAUUGGGACAACUAUUGGAAACGAUAGCUAAUACCGAAUAUUCUUGUUUACAUAAGUAAGCGUAGUAAAAGGGGCGUUUGCCCCACUAAAGGAUAAGAGUGCGUCAUAUUAGUUAGUUGGUAAGGUAAGAGCUUACCAAGACGAUGAUAUGUAGCGGGGUCGAGAGGCUGAACCGCCACACUGGGACUGAGAUACGGCCCAGACUCCUACGGGAGGCAGCAGUAUUGAAUAUUUCACAAUGAGCGAAAGCUUGAUGAAGCGACACAUCGUGCAGGAUGACGGCCCUUGGGUUGUAAACUGCUGUUGUAAGGGAAGAACAACAUUAGUAGGAAAUGAUUAAUGUCUGACGGUACCUUAUUAGAAAGCACCGGCAAACUAUGUGCCAGCAGCCGCGGUAAUACAUAGGGUGCAAGCGUUAUCCGGAAUUAUUGGGCGUAAAGCGUCUAUAGGU
rnacentral:rRNA from 1 species